CGGGUUAGUAACACGUGGAUAAUCUGCCUUUGGGUGGGGGACAACUUGUCGAAAGACGGGCUAAUACCCCGUAAGACCACAGGAUCUUCGGGUCCAGGGGUAAAAGAUGGCCUCUAUUUAUAAGCUAUCACCUGAAGAUGAGUCCGCGUCCCAUUAGCUUGUUGGUAGGGUAACGGCCUACCAAGGCUGAGAUGGGUAGCUGGUCUGAGAGGACGACCAGCAACACUGGAACUGAGACACGGUCCAG
rnacentral:rRNA from 1 species